GACGAACGCUGGCGGCGUGCCUAACACAUGCAAGUCGAACGGAGUUAAGAGAGUUUGCUCUCUUAACUUAGUGGCGGACGGGUGAGUAACGCGUGAGUAACCUGCCUUUCAGAGGGGGAUAACGUUCUGAAAAGAACGCUAAUACCGCAUGACGUCAUAGGACCGCAUGGUCUAGUGAUCAAAGGAGCAAUCCGCUGAAAGAUGGACUCGCGUCCGAUUAGCUAGUUGGCAGGGUGAUAGCCUACCAAGGCGACGAUCGGUAGCCGACCUGAGAGGGUGAUCGGCCACAUUGGAACUGAGAUACGGUCCAG
rnacentral:rRNA from 1 species